AGUCCAGCUGGGGUUAAGAAAUUUCCUUACGAUCUUUACAGUAGUGCCGUAAAUAUAGGCUAGGUUGCCAAGCGACCAUCUGAUUUCAGGCUUAGGCCGCUCUACUGUAAAGUGAGGGGAUCCACACAGAAGGUUAAAGUGAGUUCACCAAAACACGCAUCAUGCCGUUCAUCGACCUCCAGGGGAAGUUGGGUAUCAACAUGGACAAAUGGAUGUUGAUCCAGGGUGGAGAGCAACCAUAUAAACGUGCGCCGCGCUGCCACGCCUUUGAGAAGGAGUGGAUCGAGUGUGCAGAUGGCAUUGGUCAGACCCGUGCCAAAAAGGAGUGCAAGCUCGAGUUUGAGGACUUCUAUGAGUGCAUGCACAGAGAGAAGACGCACAAGAGGCUGUAUGAGAUCCGUAAGCAGCGGGACAAGAUGGUGAAGGAGGGCACCUACCAGACCCCAGCUCACCACACUGGCGCUCAGGCUGACAACAGGCCUUGACCCUAUUUGACCUUGUAUGUAUUUGACAAGGUACAGUGUAGGGAGAGAUGACUGGAAGAAAGGGACAGAAACGUGAAGGUAGCCUAGUGGUUGGUGUUGGAUUAGUAACCGAAAGGUUGCAAGAUCAAAUCCCCGAGCUGACAAGGUAAAAAUCUAUCGUUCCUAGGCCGUCAUUGAAAAUAAGAAUUUGUUCUUAACUGUUAAAUAAAGGUAAAAUAAAUAAAUAUUUAUGAUCUUGGUUUUGAAUGUGUUAAUACUACCGAUUUGUAUUCAAUUAUUUGUAAUACCACACUAACUACACAAUACCAGACAAUAUUUUUUGGAGUGUGAACUUAUUAUUUACAACCCCAGUUUGAGACUGACAUAAUGAUUUCAAAUUAGCCUACUUGUUUUGGGACGCAAAUGGCUACAGGUGAAGUACUACAGGACUACCGACAUGAGAGUAGUGAGAAUAUUUUCUUCACAUACCUGUACAGUGUUUUCAGAAAGUAUUCCUAUCCCUUGACUUUUUACAAAUUUUGUUAUGUUACAGCCUGAAUUCAAAAUGGAUUAAAUAGAUUUUUUUUGUCUCUCGCCCAUCUACGCACAAUAUCCCAUAAAGACAAAGUGAAUUAAAAUAUAUAUAUAUAUUGUUGCAAAUGUAUUGAAAAUUAAAUGGAUAUCUCAUUUACAUAAGU